AUUGAACGCUGGCGGCAUGCCUUACACAUGCAAGUCGAACGGCAGCGGACCUUCGGGUGCCGGCGAGUGGCGAACGGGUGAGUAAUAUAUCGGAACGUACCUUUCAGUGGGGGAUAACGUAGCGAAAGUUACGCUAAUACCGCAUAUUCUGUGAGCAGGAAAGCAGGGGAUCGCAAGACCUUGCGCUGAUUGAGCGGCCGAUAUCAGAUUUAGCUAGUUGGUGAGGUAAAGGCUCACCAAGGCGACGAUCUGUAGCGGGUCUGAGAGGAUGAUCCGCCACACUGGAACUGAGACACGGUCCAGACUCCUACGGGAGGCAGCAGUGGGGAAUUUUGGGACAAUGGGCGCAAGCCUGAUCCAGCCAUGCCGCGUGAGUGAAGAAGGCCUCGGUUGUAAGU
rnacentral:rRNA from 1 species